AAGGUAUUGUGACAUUAACCCGUCCGCUGCGAUUGGCACGGAUUUGGCCUUUACUGGUAGCCUGGUAACAUACACUCCUAGGUCUUUCUCUGCCUCUGUGGUGGAUAGUGGAGUGUUUCCCAUGUGGUAUUGGUGUGCUGGAUAUCCCUUCACUGGUAGCCUGGUAACAUACACUCCCAGGUCUUUCUCUGCCUCUGUGGUGGAUAGUGGAGUGUUUCCCAUGUGGUAUUGGUGUGCUGGAUAUCCCUUCACUGGUAGCCUGGUAACAUACACUCCCAGGUCUUUCUCUGCCUCUGUGGUGGAUAGUGGAGUGUUUCCCAUGUGGUAUUGGUGUGCUGGAUAUCCCUUCACUGGUAGCCUGGUAACAUACACUCCCAGGUCUUUCUCUGCCUCUGUGGUGGAUAGUGGAGUGUUUCCCAUGUGGUAUUGGUGUGCUGGAUAUCCCCUCCCAAUGUGCAGGACUUUACAUUUUUCUUCACUGAAUUGUAGGAGCCACUUUUUGCUCCUCUCCUGUAGCUGGUGAUGUCUUGUAGGAAAUCCGCAGUC